CGCAUAUUGCGCCCUCCGGUAUUCCGGAGGGCAUGCCUGUUCGAGCGUCAUUACACCCCUCAAGCAUAGCUUGGUAUUGGGCCCCGCCAGUCAGUCAAAGGCGCGUCCGAAAAUCAGUGGCGGUCAGAUAUGACUUCAAGCGUAUUAAAUUUUCUCUCGCUUUCGAAGCUCCCCCUUCGGCCGGCCAACGACCCCUAAUUCCACGAAUUGACCUCGGAUCAGGUAGGGAUACCCGCUGAACUUAA
rnacentral:misc_RNA from 1 species